rnacentral:lncRNA from 1 species
CCCUGUUGCGCUGUUACCCUGAGUGGCAGCACAAAGAUGUUUCAUGGCUCAGACUGAUUCCCUUCUUUCCAGAUUCUGUAAACAAAGCUCCAAGCUGAGAAACACUGUGUCCUGAUGGUGGCUGGCAGCCAGAAAUAUCCAUUCCUUGGGAAGACAGGAUCAGCAGAGAAAGAAAAGAAAAUGCCUGAAGAGCAAAAAAUCUGAACACCAAACCUUUGAUCCUGGAUUUGAAGCUAAGCUGUGCAAUUAACAGUGGUUUUGUCACAAAGGGAAGAGUCACAGGAAGAAAGGAUGGAACACUGCACAAAGAAAUGAUCGGGUAAGACUGAGAAAAUGAUGCUACAAUCAUUUAGAGAGUCACACAAAUCCCUCCUCAAGAGUAAGCAAAGUAUGUAAAAAAAAAAGAGAAAUAAAGGACAACAGCAUUGAAAAACCA